rnacentral:rRNA from 1 species
UACGGAGGGAGCUAGCGUUGUUCGGAAUUACUGGGCGUAAAGCGCGCGUAGGCGGCUUUGUAAGUUAGAGGUGAAAGCCCGGGGCUCAACUCCGGAAUUGCCUUUAAGACUGCAUCGCUAGAAUCCGGGAGAGGUGAGUGGAAUUCCGAGUGUAGAGGUGAAAUUCGUAGAUAUUCGGAAGAACACCAGUGGCGAAGGCGGCUCACUGGACCGGUAUUGACGCUGAGGAGGCGAAAAGCCAGGGGAGCCAAACGGG